rnacentral:rRNA from 1 species
UACAGAGGGUGCGAGCGUUGUCCGGAAUCACUGGGCGUAAAGGGCGCGUAGGUGGCUUACCAAGCGUGUGGUGAAAGCCCGGAGCUCAACUCCGGGUCGGCCAUGCGAACUGGCAGGCUAGAGCACGGUAGAGGCCAAUGGAAUUCCGGGUGUAGCGGUGGAAUGCGUAGAGAUCCGGAAGAACACCGGAGGCGAAGGCGGCUUGCUGGGCUCGGUCUGACGCUGAGGCGCGAAAGCGUGGGGAGCGAACAGG